rnacentral:rRNA from 1 species
UACGUAGGGUCCGAGCGUUGUCCGGAAUUAUUGGGCGUAAAGAGCUCGUAGGCGGUUUGUCGCGUCUGCUGUGAAAUCCCGAGGCUCAACCUCGGGUCUGCAGUGGGUACGGGCAGACUGGAGUGCGGUAGGGGAGAAUGGAAUUCCUGGUGUAGCGGUGGAAUGCGCAGAUAUCAGGAGGACACCGAUGGCGAAGGCAGUUCUCUGGGCCGUAACUGACGCUGAGGAGCGAAAGCGUGGGGAGCGAACAGG